rnacentral:lncRNA from 1 species
AUAUUUAUAAUAUAUGUACAUAUUUUUAUAUUAUCACUAAUAUAUAUGUGUUUGUGUGUUAAUAUAUCUUAUUAAUAAUCAUCAUUUAUACCUCUCUCUAUCUAAUUAAUUAUAUGAAUCACUAAAUUGUGUGUGUGUUGUAUGUGUGUUGUGUGUGAUGUGUGUGUGUGUGUUUUAAAUUUAUAAUCCAUUUUUCAUUUUUUUGAAAUUUAUAAUUCAUUUUUCAUUUUCAUUUUUCAUUUUUUAUUUUUUCAAAUUUAUAAUUCAUUUUUCAUUUUUUUCUCAUCCCUCUCUCUAUUUAUAUCACUAAUUUAUCCCUAAUCACUAAUUCAUUUUUCAUUUUUUUCAAAUGAUUUUGUUAUCUAUUCUUGUGUGGGUCCCACUCGUCAUCCUCUCCCCCUUUCUCCCCUCUCCUUCAUCUAUCUCUCUCUGUGUGUACGUCGCGCAUGCGAUCUCCGAGGAGAGGAGGGAUGAUGACCGACCGGCAGGUGGCUUGGGAAGACGUCGUGCGGUCCGCAGGGCCACGCGCUCACCACCGGUAGCCGCGAGCCAGGCUGGAGGCGCGCGCGUGUGCGCCCAUGGGCCAGCGCGGGCGGCCGACGACCGGAUCAGGGCGAUCGGCAGAGGGGUGGCAGGGGAUAGCGAGAGGUGCACGAGCGGAGGACAACCUCCAGGUCAGGGAGGCGUAAGCGGACGGACGACGCGCUAGGGAGGCGGCGACGCGGAUGGACGACAUGCUCGGCGCGGCGCAGCGUGACGUCAUCGUAGGCGUGGAGGGACGGUGUGCUCGGCGUGCUCGGCGGCGGCGUGGACGGACGAUGUGCUCGGCGACGCGAAUCGGAUGGCGGGCGGACAGCGUUCUCUCGGACGCACGGCAGAUUAGAGAGGAAUAGACUUUGGGAGGGAAGGAAGAAGAAGGCUGCCAGCUUUAUACACUAGAGGACCUUUAGUCCCGGUCCUCGUUACGGACCAGGACUAAAGCCCUUUUAGGGCUGGCUGGAGCCACCAAGAGGCACUAAAGAUGUUGAUGUUU